rnacentral:lncRNA from 1 species
CAGACCCUGCCUGUCCACGUUCCUGCUCAGGCCAUUCCGUCUCUGUAGGUGGAACCCACUGGGCAGAGAGUGUUUCUGAAAAACACACCUGGCAGAGACCUGUCAGAAAGGGGUCAGUGUUUGGGACCAAGAAGAGAGAGGCGUCCUUGAGAAGGGAAGUCAGGCUUUCACACCACAUCUGCAGCAUGUUCCCACCAUUCCUUCGGGAAAAAAAGGGAGCUCCUUGGAGAAUCAACUUGCACUUGGAGCCCUCUGAUGAUCCCAUCCAGCAGCAGCUGCAUUAAUCCCUCCCAGCCAACCGUAUUCCCAGCCUUUCGUAUUUCAAAGUCUCAUAAACUUUGAACUGAUACCAGGUUUAUAUGCAGUAAGUGCUAUGGCUUAGCAAUCUGCAAGUGAGUUGUCAUUCCCUCCUAAAGCAUCAGUACCUUAGACCUCAGUGCUUGAUAAGUCAAGGCACUUCAUCUGAGUUUCACAAAGGUCAGACCUUUGGAAUUGGAACUUAUUCUUUGGGGAUAGGUCAUACCACCAGCACCCACCAACAGAUCAUCAUUUUUCCUAUUGAGGUUCUAUUCUAUUUCAGGCAUUUUGCACUUUAGGUGAAAAAUUUCUAAUGAAGGAGACAACAUUAGACCAUAAAUUCAAUAUGAUUAUUGUCAUCCUUCCCUCCAGAAAGAGGAAGAAUUGGCCAAACAAGGUAGUAAAAACGCAACCGUUCUAAAUUCUGUCUCCACGUAGAAAAUAACGGGAAUACUAAGACUUGUAACAAUAGCAAUCCUGCAGGUUGACAAGGAUGUGUAGGAGAGGCGGUGAGCAACACCGAAAUUCCUUCAGGUAUUUGCAGAACUUCUGAGCUAACGUUAAAAGCUAAAAUUAUCAUCAAAAAUACAAAGUAUUUUUAACCCGACAUAAAUUAACAAUGUGCCUAUGUCAAUUCUGUUGUUCUUGAGAUGACUAUGUCCUUUGGAAAAUUUUUAAGUAACUUAAGAUAUCCACCACGAAUUUACUAUUUCAGGGAAGGUGCUUGUUUUUUGGUUUUUGUUUCUUUACCUGCAAAAUAUCUUCUACGCCAUCAGGAGUACUGUUCACCAGCUACUGGCAAAACCUGGUUGAAGUUCCCCAUGGUAUGUUCUGGAUUAUUGGUUGGUGAUCAUAGCCAUGCUCUGCCUACUGAUCCAUUUAUGUGGGCAAGAUUUCAAAAUACCUUAAUAAAAAAUAAUACAAGCAAAAUGUGGUUGCCUGUAUCACCAGGAACUUCCAUACAGCACCGCUCAGAAAAGUUGACUUUAAAGUCCUCUAAAAGGAUUUUAAAGUCCUACAACUCCUUUAAAAUAGUCAUUUUUUAUUAAAAAAAAAAAGCAAGAUUAUAAAAUAGAAGCCAUUUCAGGAAACUUCCCAUCGUUUAGUGCCUGAACAGAGAUAGUAAAGAGAAAGAGGAGAGGGUUUCAGGCUAAAGGAAUGGAAAGAGUGUUUUGUGGAUUGAACGUUUGUGUCCCUCCCCACCCAAAUUCACAUGUUGAAGCCCUAACCCUCAAUGUUAAGGAUCACUGGGAGAUACUUAGGUUUAGAUGAGGUCAUGAAGGUUUUACUAAUAAUGGUAUUAGCAUCCCUAUAAAGAGAGGAAGGAAGACCUGAGCUCUUUGUGCAUCUGCACACAAAGAUGUUAUCUGAGCACUUGGCAAGAUGGCGGCCUUCAGGGAGCCAGAGAGACCUCAGCAAGAACCAAAUCUGCUGGCACAUUGACCUUGGACUUCCAAGCCUCCAAAACUGUGGGAAAUAAAUGUCUGCUGUUUAAAACACUCAUUCUGUGGUGUUUUGUUAUAGCAGUUGGAGCUAAGACAGGAUGCCUGCUGGGAGAGAAAUAAUAGUAUUUGAAGGAAAUUUAAAGUGCCCACUGGAAAGCAAUAAACAGCUUCAGCAUUGUCACCCACUGAAACAGAAUCAUCACAAUAAAACUGUCCCAUGCCAUGUCUCUUGGAUACUUAAUGUCUCCUUAGGUUAAGUGAAGAGAAGCCUAUAGUGCUUUGAAAUGAAUAUGGCCUCACCUACAGGUUACCAAAGGGCCCCUGACAAGUAUCAGCCCCUAGAAUGCACCCACCCUCAGCAGACUUCAAAGCAGACAGGGUAGCUCUAGAUAAUAAAUAGUCAAAACUUCUUCUAGAGCUAAAUAAGAACUUUAAUAUAGCUUAGAUUUUAGCAACAUGUAGACACUUCUGGGUCUAGGUCUUAAGUAAAGUAUUUAAAACUUAAGUAAGAUAUUAAUAUACUGUAAAGGGAAUCAAACUGAUACAAAUCUCUUCCCAGAUAUCUUAAUACACUUAAUUAAUUAAUAAUUAAUUACUACACUUACAUCAUCUAUUAGUGAUGUCUUACAUAUAAUGGUCCCAAGGUCCACAGUCUAAACUUGAGAAACAACAGAUUUGCCGAAAAAGAAAAUGGAAACGUUAUUAUCAUCAUGAAAAGUAGAACGAUUGGGCAGAUAGCCAUUGGUAUCUGUGGAUAAAAAUUUUAUUACAUUCGCGUAACAUCAAUUUUAAUUCCAAGUUUAGUCUCUGCUAUCAGUAGCCUCCUGUUAUAGUUAAAUUGUCAUAAAUGCUGUGAUGCUAACAAAAUCUCAGAAAGGCACUCUGGUGGAUUCCUGAAAUAAAUAAAUCUUUUCAAACUAAAAAAAAAAUGAGAAAGGAGA